UACGUAGGCAGCAAGCGUUGUUCGGAUUUACUGGGCGUAAAGGGUGCGUAGGCGGCUUCUUAAGUCUGGUGUGAAAUCUCCCGGCUCAACUGGGAGGGUGCGCCGGAUACUGAGGGGCUAGAGUGUGGGAGAGGAAAGUGGAAUUCCUGGUGUAGCGGUGAAAUGCGCAGAUAUCAGGAGGAACACCGGUGGCGAAGGCGGCUUGCUGGGCCUUACCUGACGCUGAGGAGCGAAAGCGUGGGGAGCGAACAGG
rnacentral:rRNA from 1 species